ACUUGCAAAUUUUAUGUAAGCGUGUAGUCAACAUCCAUCACACCAAAUUGUAGUAACUUUUCAACAAGAAAGAGAAGAGAGAGCUUGCAGAAAAGUACGGGAACGGUUUUGCUGCAACUUCUACCUCUCUCACUGCAGAAGUUCUGCCUGAGAGAAAAGUUACUUUUGUUGCAGAAAAGUACGGGAACGCUCUGCUGCCGUUUUUGUGCAGAAUUGCAGAAUUCUGCAGUACGGGAAUAGACCUAUUCUCUCAGAGCGUUACGCUAUUUUCGAGCUGUCAAACUGUCGCCAUCUUGAUUUUCAUUCGUAUAUUUUUUCAGCUACGAGAACACCGCCAUUGUGAAAAGUUGACACACAUCGGAAAGCACUUCCUCCACGAUCGCCGCGCCGCGCCGCACAUAUUCCCGGAAGUCUUCGCACGCCCCAGACGGUCGGCCAAGAGUUGCCCCAGACGGUCAGCCGCGCCGCACGACUCCCUUCUGCCACUUUCCCCAGACAGUCAGCCACGGAUUUCCUUGACCCCGGAAGUUCCGGCCGGAAGUGUUUCUACGCUCAUUCCCAUUUACCUGGAGCUGUGGCCAACCCGAUCCGCAUCGCACGGUGAAGUCCCUCCCGGAAGACGGUCAGCCGCGUCACGGAUUUCCUUGCCCCGGAAGCUGCAGCCGAGGAGAGCCGGUAAAUAGAUCCGCGUCUUUGUGCUCUGCCCCGUCCAAAACGGUCAGCCGCGCCACGGUCCAAGAUUAGUGACCGACCGUAACACGACCAAGAGUUGCAUCAGGGGGCCAGCCGCAUCGCACGUUUUAAUCCUUCCCGGAAGACUCCGCAAGGACUGUGGCCUGCCGCAGAACUCCUAAUCUUCUGCCACUUUCCCCAGACGAUCAGCCGCGUCCUUGUCCCCGGAAGCUGCAUUCGAGGACAGCCGGUAAACAGGUGUUAACACUUAAACUCCCAUGCUCGCGAAAAAGUCGAAAGUCCAACUUUGACAUGCUGUAUCUCGGCUCCCCUUGGACGGAUUGUGUUUUGUGACAGAUGUCAAGAUAAUUUUCCUUUUUUGAAAAGUCAAAAAAGAUGCAUUUACCCUAAGUUAUGUACGAAUCAAUGAAACAACUUUUUUUCAAAAAAGUCGGAAGUCGAUUAUGAUCAGCUGUAUCUUAACUCCUUGAGGGCGGAUUUUCAAAAUUCAGAAAGCCAAAAAUAGGGACAGAUGUCCAGAUGAUGUUCCUUAUAUGAAAAGUCAAAAAUAGACCCAUUUACUCUAAGUUAUGGGCGAACCAAUAAAUAAACUUUUUUUCAACUCGUUUUAUACGAUUUGUCUUGACAAAAUAUUGAAAUAUUAUGUGAUAAUCUUUAUCA